UACGUAGGGGGCUAGCGUUGUCCGGAAUCAUUGGGCGUAAAGAGCGCGUAGGCGGCCAGAUAAGUCCGGUGUGAAAGUCACAGGCUCAACCUGUGAAUGCCGCUGGAAACUGUCUGGCUAGAGUCCGGAAGGGGCGAGUGGAAUUCCUGGUGUGGCGGUGAAAUGCGCAGAUAUCAGGAGGAACACCAAUGGCGAAGGCAGCUCGCUGGGACGGUACUGACGCUGAGGCGCGAAAGCGUGGGGAGCAAACAGG
rnacentral:rRNA from 1 species